rnacentral:rRNA from 1 species
GGUUAAGUUAGAAAGGGCGCACGGUGGAUGCCUUGGCACUAGGAGCCGAUGAAGGACGGGACGAACACCGAUAUGCUUCGGGGAGCUGUAAGCAAGCUUUGAUCCGGAGAUUUCCGAAUGGGGAAACCCACCACUCGUAAUGGAGUGGUAUCCAUAUCUGAAUACAUAGGAUAUGAGAAGGCAGACCCGGGGAACUGAAACAUCUAAGUACCCGGAGGAAGAGAAAGCAAAUGCGAUUCCCUGAGUAGCGGCGAGCGAAACGGGAUCAGCCCAAACCAAGAGGCUUGCCUCUUGGGGUUGUAGGACACUCUGUACGGAGUUACAAAGGAACGAGGUAGAUGAAGAGGUCUGGAAAGGCCCGCCAUAGGAGGUAACAGCCCUGUAGUCAAAACUUCGUUCUCUCCUGAGUGGAUCCUGAGUACGGCGGAACACGUGAAAUUCCGUCGGAAUCCGGGAGGACCAUCUCCCAAGGCUAAAUACUCCCUAGUGACCGAUAGUGAACCAGUACCGUGAGGGAAAGGUGAAAAGCACCCCGGAAGGGGAGUGAAAGAGAUCCUGAAACCGUGUGCCUACAAGUAGUCAGAGCCCGUUAACGGGUGAUGGCGUGCCUUUUGUAGAAUGAACCGGCGAGUUACGAUCCCGUGCAAGGUUAAGCAGAAGAUGCGGAGCCGCAGCGAAAGCGAGUCUGAAUAGGGCGAAUUGAGUACGUGGUCGUAGACCCGAAACCAGGUGAUCUACCCAUGUCCAGGGUGAAGUUCAGGUAACACUGAAUGGAGGCCCGAACCCACGCACGUUGAAAAGUGCGGGGAUGAGGUGUGGGUAGGGGUGAAAUGCCAAUCGAACCUGGAGAUAGCUGGUUCUCUCCGAAAUAGCUUUAGGGCUAGCCUCAAGGUAAGAGUCUCGGAGGUAGAGCACUGAUUGGACUAGGGGCCCCUACCGGGUUACCGAAUUCAGUCAAACUCCGAAUGCCGAUGACUUAUCCUUGGGAGUCAGACUGCGAGUGAUAAGAUCCGUAGUCGAAAGGGAAACAGCCCAGACCGCCAGCUAAGGUCCCAAAGUAUACGUUAAGUGGAAAAGGAUGUGGAGUUGCUUAGACAACCAGGAUGUUGGCUUAGAAGCAGCCACCAUUUAAAGAGUGCGUAAUAGCUCACUGGUCGAGUGACUCUGCGCCGAAAAUGUACCGGGGCUAAACGUAUCACCGAAGCUGCGGACUGUUCUUCGAACAGUGGUAGGAGAGCGUUCUAAGGGCUGUGAAGCAAGACCGGAAGGACUUGUGGAGCGCUUAGAAGUGAGAAUGCCGGUAUGAGUAGCGAAAGAGGGGUGAGAAUCCCCUCCACCGAAUGCCUAAGGUUUCCUGAGGAAGGCUCGUCCGCUCAGGGUUAGUCGGGACCUAAGCCGAGGCCGAAAGGCGUAGGCGAUGGAUAACAGGUUGAUAUUCCUGUACCACCUCCUCACCAUUUGAGCAAUGGGGGGACGCAGGAGGAUAGGGUAAGCGCGGUAUUGGAUAUCCGCGUCCAAGCAGUUAGGCUGGGAAAUAGGCAAAUCCGUUUCCCGUGAAGGCUGAGCUGUGAUGGCGAGCGAAUUAUAGUAGCGAAGUUCCUGAUUCCACACUGCCAAGAAAAGCCUCUAGCGAGGUGAGAGGUGCCCGUACCGCAAACCGACACAGGUAGGCGAGGAGAGAAUCCUAAGGUGAUCGAGAGAACUCUCGUUAAGGAACUCGGCAAAAUGACCCCGUAACUUCGGGAGAAGGGGUGCUCUGUUAGGGUGCAAGCCCGAGAGAGCCGCAGUGAAUAGGCCCAGGCGACUGUUUAGCAAAAACACAGGUCUCUGCGAAGCCGUAAGGCGAAGUAUAGGGGCUGACGCCUGCCCGGUGCUGGAAGGUUAAGAGGAGCGCUUAGCGUAAGCGAAGGUGCGAAUUGAAGCCCCAGUAAACGGCGGCCGUAACUAUAACGGUCCUAAGGUAGCGAAAUUCCUUGUCGGGUAAGUUCCGACCCGCACGAAAGGCGCAACGAUCUGGGCACUGUCUCAACGAGAGACUCGGUGAAAUUAUAGUACCUGUGAAGAUGCAGGUUACCCGCGACAGGACGGAAAGACCCCGUGGAGCUUUACUGCAGCCUGAUAUUGAAUGUUGGUACAGCUUGUACAGGAUAGGUAGGAGCCUUGGAAACCGGAGCGCCAGCUUCGGUGGAGGCAUCGGUGGGAUACUACCCUGGCUGUAUUGACCUUCUAACCCGCCGCCCUUAUCGGGCGGGGAGACAGUGUCAGGUGGGCAGUUUGACUGGGGCGGUCGCCUCCUAAAAGGUAACGGAGGCGCCCAAAGGUUCCCUCAGAAUGGUUGGAAAUCAUUCGCAGAGUGUAAAGGCACAAGGGAGCUUGACUGCGAGACCUACAAGUCGAGCAGGGACGAAAGUCGGGCUUAGUGAUCCGGUGGUUCCGCAUGGAAGGGCCAUCGCUCAACGGAUAAAAGCUACCCCGGGGAUAACAGGCUUAUCUCCCCAAGAGUCCACAUCGACGGGGAGGUUUGGCACCUCGAUGUCGGCUCAUCGCAUCCUGGGGCUGUAGUCGGUCCCAAGGGUUGGGCUGUUCGCCCAUUAAAGCGGUACGCGAGCUGGGUUCAGAACGUCGUGAGACAGUUCGGUCCCUAUCCGUCGCGGGCGCAGGAAAUUUGAGAGGAGCUGUCCUUAGUACGAGAGGACCGGGAUGGACGCACCGCUGGUGUACCAGUUGUUCUGCCAAGGGCAUCGCUGGGUAGCUAUGUGCGGACGGGAUAAGUGCUGAAAGCAUCUAAGCAUGAAGCCCCCCUCAAGAUGAGAUUUCCCAUUCCGCAAGGAAGUAAGAUCCCUGAAAGAUGAUCAGGUUGAUAGGUCUGAGGUGGAAGUGUGGCGACACAUGGAGCUGACAGAUACUAAUCGAUCGAGGACUUAACCAA